CUAGCCCUUAAAAUGGUAUGGCGCUCAAGCAUUCUCCCGUAUACUCGGACCGCCGGGGCACUACCGGCCUGGCUGAUGGCGGCCUUCUGGGUCUCUCCUCUUCAGGUCUCGAAGCCCCGGUGAGUAGGAGGGUCGCGGUGGUGAGCGUAGAAGGGUAUGGCGUGAGCCGGCCUGGAGCACUCCACUGGUGCAGAUCUUGGUGGUAGUAUGCAACAUAGUCGCAGAGAGCACUCCCUUGCAAGGCCAGAAGUGGGGAAGGGUUCCAUGUGAACAUCAAUUGGACAUGGGUUAGUCGCCCCUAAGCCCAAGGCGAAAGCCUGGUCCCACGCUAGAGGCAACGACCGCUCGAGACUGUAUACAGUACGGGACCGUCUUGGUCGUCGUAUUUGUGGUAGUCGGUAGUGACGAUACUGCUGGGCCAGUACCACCUUCCAAUGUCAAUGGCUUGGGUUCAUUGGCGGCCCACGGUGAGUUGCCAGUUGGGAUUAGUGGCGAAAGGGAAUACGGUCAUUAUUCCGUAACCAGGACCCGGAUGCCAAUCAGGUGUAAGCGCCCUUGCCCUCUGGGCAGGGGAAUGCUGCCCUGUGCAGGAGCCCGGUAACGGGAACCAGCUCGCGUCCGUCGGCGGUGGUCCGGGAAAGAGUUCUCUUUUCUGUUUAAGGCGCCGUGACCCUGGAAGCCAUUCGCAGAGAGAAAGGGUGUUUGUAACACGGACAGCCGUAGAGCGCCGCGGUUCUCUAGCGGCGUCCCGAGCGCCACCGCCGGCCCGUCAAACACGCGAGGGCGGUAACUCGCGGGUGAAGCAGACUCUCUCCCAAGGGUGAGUCCGCCAAGCCUAUUUUCGGGCCAGUGCGUACCCAUAACCGCAGCAGGUCUCCAAGGUAAGAAGC
rnacentral:rRNA from 1 species